GGGCGCUUGGUCUAGGGGUAUGAUUUUCGCUUCGCAUGUGAGAGGCCGGGGGUUCAAAUCCCCCAGUGUCCA
rnacentral:tRNA from 1 species